CCUACGGGCGUCUGCAGUGAGGAAUAUUGGUCAAUGGACGAGAGUCUGAACCAGCCAAGUAGCGUGAAUGAUGACUGCCCUAUGGGUUGUAAACUUCUUUUAUAAAGGAAUAAAACGAGGCACGUGUGCCUUUUUGCAGGGACUUUAUGAAUAAGGAUCGGCUAACGCGGUGCCAGCAGCCGCGGUAAGACGGAGGUUCCGAGCGGUAGCCGGAUUUAGUGGGUUGAAAGGGAGCGUAGAUGGGUUGGUAAGUCAGUUGUGAAAGUUUGCGGAUCAACCGUAAAAUUGCAAUUGAUACUGGCAGUCUUGAGUACAGUUGAGGUAGGCGGAAUUCGUGGUGUAGCGGUGAAAUGCUUAGAUAUCACGAAGAACCCCGAUUGCGAAGGCAGCUUACUAAACUGUGACUGACAUUGAUGCUCGAAAGUGUGGGUAUCAAACAGGAUUAGAUACCCGUGUAGUC
rnacentral:rRNA from 1 species